rnacentral:rRNA from 1 species
GUCUAUGGCCAUACUACCCUGAACGUGCCCUAUCUCGUCUGAUCUCAGAAGAUAAGCAGAGUCAGGCCUGGUUAGCACUUGGAUGGAAGAAGUUAUAUUUGUGAAGAAAAUUUAUAGAUU